GGGGCAUUGGUGUAGUGGCUCUGCACAUCUGGUUGUCGACCAGAAGGUAGGGGGUCGGAACCCCUAUGCCUCGCCA
rnacentral:tRNA from 1 species